rnacentral:misc_RNA from 1 species
UUCCAAAAAGUGGAUUGGUGCCACUGAAUGUGCUGCCCUUUUCCGUUCUUUUGGUUUUCGGGCAAGGAUUGUUGAUUUUGGUCCUAAAGAAGUGGAAUCUCUUUUUCUCUCUGUUCCUGGUGCCCAUAUGGGCUUUGUGAGGACAAAGGCCAGAGUAUAUGGGCCCAUGGAUAGAUAUCUGGUUGAUAGAAAUAGUGAUGUCUCCCAACCAGACUUUACUGCCUAUGCCAAUUGUCGAAGCUCUUCGAGUCACUUGGCUGAAGUGAGCAAUCAAACUAUGACAAGUAACUUUUCAAGGAACAAUGAAGGUCAUCAGGUUCUCCUUGAUUGGGUGUGGAAUUAUUUUUCUCAAGGUAGCUCAACAACACAUGCCGACCGUUGUCAUGUUACCGUUACUGACAGAACGCCCUUGUAUUUUCAACAUGAUGGACACUCAAGAACCAUUGUUGGGAUUGAAGUCAGACAUCAAAAGAAUGGAAAACUGCAAUUCAGUCUCUUGAUUUUGGACCCUGGUCAUAGAACAGAAGCUCUAGAAAAAUCACUGAAAGAAAAUACCAUAUGGAAGAAGC